rnacentral:lncRNA from 1 species
AUAGAAAAUGGGAGGCAAAUGUGUACUGACCCCUGGUUAGUCACAAGAAGUCACAAAGAAUUGGAAAAGAAUGCAAGUCCACCAGCCUAUAACCUGGCAUCCUAUUCCAUGGACCAUGUUUUUCUCCCAGUCUGAAAGAAACUCAGUUCCCAGUGAUCAGUGCCUGUGAACCUCAGAUCUUGUGCUGACAGAGAUGAGAGUCUGAAUGUUGCUCCACUUGCAGUCCUCGUGGCAUGGCCCUUGAUUCAUAAGCUGGGCUGAGGGUGCCGACCAAAUGCAACCAGUGACGUUGCAGCCUCUAACAUCCCAAGCAAAGCAUUUACCACUUUCUCCACCUUUCAGUAUGCAGCUUUCAUCUUUGUGGGAUGUCUUCCUCCCUGAAUCCUUAACUGUGAAGGACUAGCAGAUGGAAAGGCAAGAACUUGAGAACAACCUGGAUCCAGCUCCUGUGAUGAAAGAAAUCGCUGCCAAGUUGACGGGAGCAUCCUGGUGCACAGGUCCUGCUUACAACACAAGAGCCUCCCACAGCUGUGUGCCCUGCACACUCAUGCCAUUCCAACACCCAGCACCAAGCCUGGGUGCCAACAGCAUGACUGCGCCAGAGUUCGGGCCAGUCUUUCACCACCAAAGCUGGCACAAUGAUUCAUGA